ACAGUACAAACUGAGCAGGCCGGGGCGAUGCCUGGGAGCCGGGUCACACAGGUGGCAGUGGAUAUCACAUCCGCGGGACAGU
rnacentral:ncRNA from 1 species